rnacentral:piRNA from 1 species
UGGUGACUCUUGCUGCCUUAACUGGUUU